CAGGCGCUACUCCACUAUUCUAGCGUCCGCAACGCUCAAUAAAGGAGGUACAGACAACAACCGCAUGACUCGCGGUGCGGCAGCGUGGAGACCUGUCGUAAUGCAUCCGCCACUUUCGCGGGCGAAUGCGAGGUGGGCAGUUGAUGAAGUUCGUGCCCAUCAGAGUCGGAAGCAAAUGGCA
rnacentral:ncRNA from 1 species